GUUUUGUCUCUGGAGCUCUGGCCGGUACUUUGUGUCCCGAGUAUCAAUGGAAAGGUUUCUACAGCGACUCAACUUUAAAUAGCUAAUCCCCGGAGCAUGUUUCUUUCCAGUUUUGGGACUGGUUUACCCACAUCUUUGCUGUCGCGGCAGUCUCCGCAGAUGCAUCCCAAGCAGCCGUUGACCACCUGGAUGCCGCAGAGCACCAGCUGCAGGACACCCAUGGACAGCAGAAUGGAGAACAGGACGACGUGCCACAUAACUGCAUUUUUGGGGAACUCGCAUAUUGUCCACAUGGUCUGGUUCACAAGGUAGCUGCCAUCACCCCUGAAAACAAAGGUAAAGGCAUUAUCAUUAUACUGGACAUGACUACAGUACUCAUGAAAGUAUGUGUGAACUGUGCAGGAGAUACAGACACUUAGAUGAGGUAACAUGUGGCACUUAUGAUGUAGAAUUGGAACGAGGAGGAAAGACAAGAGAAAGACACACUGACAUUAAAAGGAGAGAACUCACAGAAUUUGAAAAGUGGGAUUUAAACUUGCAAAAGGUAUUAUGUAUUGUACUUGAUAACAUAUUUCACGUUUAACUCACGCAACUUGUGAAUAUGUAAAGAUGAGAUGUUUUCAGUCUUUAUUGCCAAUUAAGCUAACUAGCUUUUCUCCAGGUUAAUGACAAUAUUUAAAUGGAUGAGAUGGGAGCAAGCCGUAGGGCGGAAAAUCUCAUGGGUUGAGCUGUGGAAGGCCGAGCCCCAUCGUAUUCGUUUCUUAAUCCAGGCUGUCUACGAUGUUAUACUAAGCCCAACCAGCUUGUAGCCCAAACCAUUUGUUGUGCUCUGUGCCAGAAGAGGGACCCUGGAGCACAUUUUGAGCUGCUGUCCAAAAGCCCUGGGUGACGGGCACUAUCGUUGGCGUCAUGACCAAGUCUUAAGGGCUAUCGUGAACACCAUCUGCAGUGGAAUUGAUGAAUGCAAGCACUGUCGCCUCCAGUUACAGCCAGAACCACCUCUUCUGGCCUCCUGGCAACGGCACAAGAUUGGGCGCUCAGAGUUGACCUUGGGAAGCAGCUGAAGUUCCCAGAAAACAACUCUCAGGCUGGAUUUGGUCCUCACCACAGCAACACCUAAGCAGAUUGUUCUCCUGGAGCUCACUGUCCCCUGGGAGGACCGCAUUGAGUCCCUCUACAGGGCCUAUAACAUGCUGGGCAUCACUGGAGUCAGAAGUCGUAGGGCCAUUAAGGAGGCCACUGAAGCAGCACAAGUUGCUUCAGUGGCUGUGGAUCAGGAGAAGGAGACACGUGGUUGGGUUAGCGCUACCUGGACACAAGCCGGAGCUUGAUCACCCCCGGCUGGGCCGCCUGGACGAGAGUGUACGAUUUUUUGAAAGACCCGAAACACUCAAGGACUCCAGGUAACAUCACUGAGGAGGUGUCCAGGUUGCAUCAUAGUUGUAAAAACCACACAAAUGUUAUUUUGUAUGUAGCAUGGUUAGCUGUGUUCAGUGCUUAGCUAACCAGCUUCCUUGAAGGUCAUUAAUUAACAUAAUGCAUGGGAUUAAAUGUGACUCUUUAACCCUUACAAUAACCAAGGUGUAAAACUGUUUAAGCUAAGCUAACUGGCUGCUAUGUAUGACAUAUAAAUGCAUGAUAGCACUGAGCUGAUUUCCUACUGUAUCUAUAUUUUGCCCUUUGACAUAUUAGCAUUAACUUAAUUCAAAAUGAACUUUCUUUUACGAUUAACUUACACCAUUAAGUUAAUUGUAGUCAGUUUAAAAUUGUUAUAAAUGUAGAAAUGUAAAAUGUAGAAGCUAUAUUGUGAAAGCUACUUUUAUUAUCUUUAUUUGGGCUUGGUUUUUUUCUCAGAAAGAUUAGACGAAAAUGUGGUGAUGUUUACAAGUUCUUUGUUUUGUUUGAAAAGCAGUAAAAUCCUGUUUUACAAUGUUAUAAAGUAGAUUACCGCAGUAAAUGCUCACUUUUAAAAAGCCAGAAAGCGAUGAUCGGAAAUGAUUAUUUUAUUUUCCAAAAAAAGAAGACACGAACAAGUGAAAAUGUUUUUUUGUUCGAGGAAGACCAAGCUGAGUUUUAAUACGAAUUUCUCAUCAUGCAUUAUGUGGACUCAAAUGUGGCUCCCUCACUGUGCAACAAUGAUGCCCUUUAAACCACUUUCAACAUAGACAGCAGUUGUGUAAUGAUUAAUAGUCAUACCUAUUAGCCUAAUGCUUCUUCUUUAUCGGGUGAUUUAGGAGAGGUACUAAGUAGAUUAUUGCAUAGUAGAUAUGUUUGAGUGACUAACAUCUGAUUAAAACACCACACUGUAUUGCUUCUGAUCACAUGAAAA